rnacentral:tRNA from 1 species
UUAUUAUUGUCUGAUUUAAGUAAAAUAUUGUAAAUAUUUUCAAAAAAGUAAAACCUUUUAUAAUAAA